AUUGAACGCUGGCGGCAGGCCUAACACAUGCAAGUCGAGCGGUAACAGAUCUAGCUUGCUAGAUGCUGACGAGCGGCGGACGGGUGAGUAACGCGUAGGAAUCUACCCAGUAGCGGGGGAUAAGCCAGAGAAAUUUGGUCUAAUACCGCAUACGCCCUUCGGGGGAAAGCAGGGGCUCUUCGGACCUUGCACUAUUGGAUGAGCCUGCGUGAGAUUAGCUAGUUGGUGAGGUAAUGGCUCACCAAGGCGACGAUCUCUAGCUGGUCUGAGAGGAUGAUCAGCCACACUGGGACUGAGACACGGCCCAGACUCCUACGGGAGGCAGCAGUGGGGAAUAUUGCACAAUGGGCGCAAGCCUGAUGCAGCCAUGCCGCGUGUGUGAAGAAGGCCUUAGGGUUGUAAAGCACUUUCAGUCGUGAGGAAAGGUGUGUGCUUAAUACGUACAUACUGUGACGUUAGCGACAGAAGAAGGACCGGCUAACUCCGUGCCAGCAGCCGCGGUAAUACGGAGGGUCCGAGCGUUAAUCGGAAUUACUGGGCGUAAAGCGCGCGUAGGUGGAUUGGUCAGUCAGAUGUGAAAGCCCAGGGCUCAACCUUGGAACUGCAUCUGAUACUGCUAGUCUAGAAUACAGUAGAGGGUAGUGGAAUUUCCUGUGUAGCGGUGAAAUGCGUAGAUAUAGGAAGGAACACCAGUGGCGAAGGCGACUACCUGGACUGAUAUGACAC
rnacentral:rRNA from 1 species